AUCUACAAUAAAAGAAAAGAAAAGAAAAGGCUCUCUUUCAACAUGUAAAGCCCACUAUCUCUGCUCAUUUUCCCAUUCUCGAACCCUCCAAAAAGCAACACCAUUUUCGAAAAAGUCAAUCGCUACCGUAGAAGCACCAUGUCACUCGACACUGGCUGCUAAGUUUUCUCCAGCACUCUCUUCCACUUAAGCUGGUUGUCCAUGUUUCACCAUUCGACAAAGCCAUCGCCAUCUCAACAGUUCGGCCAUCGCGAAACAAUGAAGACCCACCUCAAGCAUCCAACAAAUCGCACUUCGUACACGGUAUUAUGACUCAAAUGAUAAGUAUGUGGUUUAAUUAGUGAUUUAUCUGCAGUAUUAUGUGAAUCGAAGUGCUAUUGUGAAUUGUUUGUUUUCCCGUAAUUUUAUUAUGUGAUUUCAUCUUAUUUCUUAAAAUUUAUGUUUACAGGUGUCAUCCUUCUUUGCAUCAAGCCAUCAACAUAUAUUUUCCAAAUCUGAAUAUGUUGUAUUGCUUUAAACUCAUUGUAUUAAAAGCAGAUUAGUUGUGAAAUAUAAUUUUUUUUUGAACAUUAGGUAGAUUGAUUAAUUCUUCACAAGAGAUUUGUUUCUUGUAUUUUGAGUUGCUGUGAAUUUGAGGAGAAUUGUUUCUUGCAUUUUGAGUUGUGUUUCGUACCUUUUAAGUUGCUAUUGGAUGUAAUUUGAGGAGAAAUGUUUCCUGCUUUUUGAGUUGUUGUUGAAUGGAAUUUGAGAAUUAUUGUUUCAUUUUUUAUGGUAUGCUCAUUUAUAAUUCUCUAUGUGAUUGCGUUCUCGGAAUGGUGGGUAAGAAUUCUGGACUAUGCCAUGGGUGUAGGAACAAGGGACACUUCUUUGUCGAUUGUCCAAUAAGACGUUGAUGUCCACGGUGUACCAAUGGGUUUCAGAAGUUUUUUGUGGUUGAAAGAGGGAUUGCUAACGAAGGGAAAAUUUUCAAAUGUUGCAGUAUAAAGUGCGGGUUUUGGGAGAAGAUUAAGCAGUAGUGAAUUGAGUACCAUUAGAGUCACGAAGGUUGAAGAAGUGGCAAAUGAAACAUCUGACAAUAUGACCCUCUUGUUCCAAUCUCAAGUUUGACUGAACGAUGAAGAAUAAAUACGUAUUUCUAUGAAUGUGACGAUCCACAAGGGAAAAGGCAUUACAAAUGCAAACACAAAGGGGAAAGGGCCGAUCGAGCAGCGGUUAAUGUUUCAUUAGCUUUAAGGGGUUUUGUGUUCGUGUUAAGUGAAUGAACUACUUUCGCUUGUAUAAUAAUUUGCAGCUCCAUGCAAUAGCUACUAACUUUUGUGACUUCAACGAAUGGCCUUUAGAUAUGCACAAUUUCUCCUAGUCAGAAUGUACAGAACUGCUAUCUAACAUUGAGCUUUUUUUUCCCUUCAGUAAACACUUACAAAAAUAGAUGACAUAUUACAAC
rnacentral:lncRNA from 1 species